GCAAAGGUUUAAAAAUAAUAUCAGGAAGUAUUACUUUACUGAGAGGGUAGUGGAUGCAUGGAAAAGCCUUCCAGCUGAAGUGGUAGAUGUUAACACAGUAAAAGAGUUUAAGUAUGUGUGGGAUAUGCAUAAGGCUAUCCUAACUAUAAGAUAAGACCAGGGACUAAUGAAAGUAUUUAGAAAAUUGGGCAGACUAGAUGGGCCGAAUGGUUCUUAUCUGCCGUCACAUUCUAUGCUUCUAUGUUUCUAUGUAUCUUCAUGAUUUGCCAGCCUAAUACUGGCAGGGCAUAAUGUGAGUUGCAGUUAGUCCAUCUCUGGCUUAUUAAACAUUGUGUCUUCCCUGCCUUGGGCCAGCCUGGCCUUAAUUGCUACCAGAUGUACUAGAGCC